rfam:Triticum aestivum genome assembly, contig: Triticum_aestivum_CS42_TGACv1_scaffold_423595_5BS
CAAGUACUCCCUCUGUCCGGAAUUACUUGUCAUCAAAAUGGAUGUGUCUAGAACUAAAAUACAUCUAGAUACAUCCAUUUCAAUGACAAGUAUUUCCGGACGGAGGGAGUACAAG